rnacentral:tRNA from 1 species
GCCUUCGUGGUGUAAUAGUCAAUAUGCUCGCCGCGUAAGCGAGAGGUCCGUGGUUCGAUUCCCGUCGACGGCA